rnacentral:rRNA from 1 species
CCUACGGGAGGCAGCAGUGAGGAAUAUUGGUCAAUGGACGAGAGUCUGAACCAGCCAAGUAGCGUGAAGGAUGACUGCCCUAUGGGUUGUAAACUUCUUUUAUAUGGGAAUAAAAUGUUCCACGUGUGGGAUUUUGUAUGUACCAUAUGAAUAAGGAUCGGCUAACUCCGUGCCAGCAGCCGCGGUAAUACGGAGGAUCCGAGCGUUAUCCGGAUUUAUUGGGUUUAAAGGGAGCGUAGGUGGAUUGUUAAGUCAGUUGUGAAAGUUUGCGGCUCAACCGUAAAAUUGCAGUUGAAACCGGCAGUCUUGAGUACAGUAGAGGUGGGCGGAAUUCGUGGUGUAGCGGUGAAAUGCUUAGAUAUCACGAAGAACUCCGAUUGCGAAGGCAGUUCACUGGACUGCAACUGACACUGAGGCUCGAAAGUGUGGGUAUCAAACAGGAUUAGAUACCCGAGUAGUC